AAUUUUUUCUCUGUAGAAUAUUAUAUAUUGUAUAUAAAAUUUUGUCAUUUUAAAAAGUUUUACUAAAAUUUUGUGUUUGGAAUUAAUUUAUUUUAAUUUUUUUCUUACGGCUACGUCCCUGCUACACAGGUUUGACUAAUUUCGUGGAAACCCUCGUGGCAGAGAAGAAAUUGAGAUCCUGUUAGUCCGUCAAAUACUUUAAAUGAUAUGAUAUGCUAUUCUAUUAACGGUUUGAACCACUUGAAGUAAGAAAUGGGAAUGGGAUUGUGCAAAAAAGUACAUUUUUUCGACAUGUUGAAUUGAAAUCGAAAUUUUUGUGUUCGUUUGUCCAGAAAAAUGUAACCCUAAUACCGGGUACUACGUUCGUUUGUAAUGGUGUUGCCCGCCUAGGCGCAUUUAAUAAGGUGGUCUCACGCGAACCACUGUUAACAGCCGGCCAGCACAUGCCAACACAGACGCACACAAAAUUCUUCGUAUGUGUGUUGGCAAAACGUCGAUCAGCUUGAUGACAAGAUGGCGGAUUGGUCCAUAUGAUUUAUGGUUGUUGUACAAAUGAGAACACCUUUAAUUGUUUCGCCAUGGUUGGCUACAGAGAGUGGAAAAAAUUUUGCAUUUGUUACACCGUGCCAAGGUGGAAAAUGUCGCACUUAAAAUCGCGGCUAUCAUUCAAACAUAUUUUAUUUGAACAGAAGAAGAAGAAUAAAAUGGAAAAAGUGAA